AUACGGAGGAUCCGAGCGUUAUCCGGAUUUAUUGGGUUUAAAGGGUGCGCAGGCGGGAGAUUAAGUCGGCGGUGAAAUUUUGCAGCUCAACUGUAAAAGUGCCUUCGAAACUGGGUUUCUUUUGUGGAGAUGUAGUAGGCGGAAAUUGUGGUGUAGCGGUGAAAUGCAUAGAUAUCACGAGGAACUCCGAUUGCGCAGGCAGCUUACUAAACUACUACUGACGCUCAGGCACGAAGGCGUGGGGAUCAAACAGGAUUAGAUACCCUGGUAGUCCACGCAGUAAACGAUGAUUACUAGCUGUUUGCGAUACAAUGUAAGCGGCUGAGCGAAAGCGUUAAGUAAUCCACCUGGGGAGUACGUUCGCAAGAAUGAAACUCAAAGGAAUUGACGGGG
rnacentral:rRNA from 1 species